rnacentral:rRNA from 2 species
GAUGAACGCUGGCGGUAUGCUUAACACAUGCAAGUCGAACGGGAUCUUUCGGGAUCUAGUGGCGGACGGGUGAGUAACGCGUGAGAAUAUGCCUAUUGAUUGGGGACAACAGUUGGAAACGGCUGCUAAUACCGAAUGAGCCUACGGGUAAAAGAUUUAUCGUCAAUAGAUUAGCUCGCGUCAGAUUAGCUAGUUGGAGUGGUAACGGCACACCAAGGCGACGAUCUGUACUUGGUCUGAGAGGAUGGCCAGGCACACUGGAACUGAGACACGGUCCAGACUCCUACGGGAGGCAGCAGUGGGGAAUUUUCCGCAAUGGGCGCAAGCCUGACGGAGCAAUACCGCGUGAGGGAGGAAGGCUCUUGGGUUGUAAACCUCUUUUAUCAGGGAAGAAUCAAUGACGGUACCUGAUGAAUCAGCAUCGGCUAACUCCGUGCCAGCAGCCGCGGUAAUACGGGGGAUGCAAGCGUUAUCCGGAAUUAUUGGGCGUAAAGCGUCCGUAGGUGGCUUAUCAAGUCUGCUGUUAAAGAAUGCGGCUCAACCGCAUAUGGGCAGUGGAAACUGAUGAGCUAGAGUGCGAUAGGGGUUACAGGAAUUCCCAGUGUAGCGGUGAAAUGCGUAGAUAUUGGGAAGAACACCAGCGGCGAAAGCGUGUGACUGGGUCUGCACUGACACUGAGGGACGAAAGCUAGGGGAGCGAAAGGGAUUAGAUACCCCUGUAGUCCUAGCCGUAAACGAUGACAACUAGGUGUGGUUCGUAUCGACCCGAGCCGUGCCGUAGCCAACGCGUUAAGUUGUCCGCCUGGGGAGUACGCACGCAAGUGUGAAACUCAAAGGAAUUGACGGGGGCCCGCACAAGCGGUGGAGUAUGUGGUUUAAUUCGAUGCAACGCGAAGAACCUUACCAAGGCUUGACAUCCUGCGAAUCUCCUUGAAAGGGGAGAGUGCCUUCGGGAGCGCAGAGACAGGUGGUGCAUGGCUGUCGUCAGCUCGUGUCGUGAGAUGUUGGGUUAAGUCCCGCAACGAGCGCAACCCACGUUUUUAGUUGCCAUCAUUCAGUUGGGCACUCUAGAGAGACUGCCGGUGACAAACCGGAGGAAGGUGUGGAUGACGUCAAGUCAGCAUGCCCCAUACGCCUUGGGCUACACACGUACUACAAUGCGUUGGACAGAGGGUCGCAAGCGUGCGAGCGCAAGCCAAUCUCGUAAACCAACGCUCAGUUCAGAUUGCAGGCUGCAACUCGCCUGCAUGAAGGCGGAAUCGCUAGUAAUCGCAGGUCAGCAUACUGCGGUGAAUACGUUCCCGGGCCUUGUACACACCGCCCGUCACACCAUGGGAGUUGGUCAUGCCCGAAGUCGUUACUCUAACCGUUCGCGGAGGAGGAUGCCGAAGGUGGGGCUGAUGACUGGGGUGAAGUCGUAACAAGGUAGCCGUACCGGAAGGUGUGGCUGGAUCACCUCCUUA